UGGCACAUAGCGGUCUUAAAGACAGUAGCGCUCCGUCAUGGGGUGUUGGGGGUCGGAGGUUCAAAUCCUCUCGUGCCGACCA
rnacentral:tRNA from 1 species